UAAAUAUUGACCUCCAUAUGGAGAUCAUGCUAGUUGACAGUUUCCAUCAGGUUAUGAAUGUGUCAAGUUUAAACUACUGUUUUAUUGUAUAAUAUGUUACUGACUGGCAUUGUGGAGUCUUGUCACACUAAUUAUAUUUUACUAUUAUGCAUAUUUAAGCACUUUCAUGGAGGAAAUGGACCAUCUAAAGUGUAUCCUGACCCACCAUCAGCUGAUGGCUGGAGAAUAACAUCUUCAAGAAAACUCCUCACAAAGCGGUCACUUGGAAAGGAAACUUAUGGCAGCAUUUAUACACAAAAUGCAAGUGUAUGCAUUUAAUACAAGAUAUCACAUGCCUAGAAAAGCUGGUCCAGGAUCCUGCAGACACUGUACCAGGAGUAGAAACACAGACCGAAUGUCCAUGGACGUCACCUUUGGAUGCUUGCACUUACCGCUCAAAAUGCUUCCCUAAAAGAACAGUUGUCACAAAAAGAAGUCCAAGUUGAAGAAUAACAGUCUGCACUUUCAUCAAAGUGUUGUGAAAUUCAGAUUUUAAAGCAACUGGUGGGAAUUUAAACAAACUGUAAAUGUCGAUAUAGUUCUGCUCAUAGAAGCAAUAGUUAAAAUUUGUUUAAAUAUUAUACAGGAAUCAUAUGAUUUUAUUUCUGCUUCUUUGAUAUAAUUGAAUAACUGUUAGUUUAUUCAUGUUUGGAAUAAAGCAUUGUAAAGUGAA